UGCUUACUGACUUGCUCUCAGUGGCUUCCCCAGUCUGCUUUCUUAUAGUACCCAGGACUGCCUGGGGUACCACAGAGAUCUGGGCUCUUCCAUAGGCCAUUCUGGUGGGGGCAUUUUUUUCAGUCAAGGUUUCUUCUUCCUAGAUGACUCUGGCUUAUAUCAAGUUGACAAACAAACAAAAACAAACAAAAAACUAGCCAGCAUACUUGGCAAAGUAUGCUAAUACUUUGGCCAAUACAGAGGCCAAUAAACACCUCUUUGGGACAAACAUCAGACAUUUCUUCAGCAAGCUCAGAAGCAGUUCACUUCAGGACCGUGAGUGUAUGCAGAAGGCAUGACAUUUAAGUUCUGGAAGAUCAGAGUGCUCCAGUCUCCUCACCCAUCUCUGAUGAGGUACAACUGAAGGCUAUAACCGAGUGGCCUUCCUCCAUCUGCCACCAUACCAUCUCAC
rnacentral:lncRNA from 1 species